rnacentral:rRNA from 1 species
CAGCAGCCGCGGUAAUACGAAGGGUGCAAGCGUUACUCGGAAUUACUGGGCGUAAAGCGUGCGUAGGUGGUGGUUUAAGUCCGUUGUGAAAGCCCUGGGCUCAACCUGGGAAUUGCAGUGGAUACUGGGUCACUAGAGUGUGGUAGAGGAUAGUGGAAUUUCCGGUGUAGCAGUGAAAUGCGUAGAGAUCUGGAGGAAUACCGAUGGCGAAGGCAGCCAUCUGGCCUAAUACUGACGCUGAGGUACGAAAGCAUGGGGAGCAAACAGGAUUAGAUACCCCAGUAGUCCCUGUCUCUUAUAC